GACGAACGCUGGCGGCGCGCCUAACACAUGCAAGUCGAGCGGGAAGCUUUUUAAGGAUUCUUCGGAUGAAUUAAAAAGUGGAGAGCGGCGGACGGGUGAGUAACGCGUGAGAAACCUGCCCUAUACAGGGGGAUAGCCAUUGGAAACGAUGAUUAAUACCCCAUAUGACCACAGUAUCGCAUGAUACAGCGGUGAAAACUCCGGUGGUAUAGGAUGGUCUCGCGUCUGAUUAGCUAGUUGGUGGGGUAAUGGCCUACCAAGGCGACGAUCAGUAGCCGGCCUGAGAGGGUGACCGGCCACACUGGAACUGAGACACGGUCCAGACUCCUACGGGAGGCAGCAGUGGGGAAUAUUGCACAAUGGGCGAAAGCCUGAUGCAGCGACGCCGCGUGAACGAUGAAGGCUUUCGAGUCGUAAAGUUCUGUUCUUGGGGAAGAUAACGACGGUACCCAAGGAGAAAGCACCGGCUAAAUACG
rnacentral:rRNA from 2 species